rnacentral:lncRNA from 1 species
AUACCGUAUUUACUCGCAUAAUCGGCGCACUCGCAUAAUAGGCGCACCCCUAGUUUGGUCGCGGAAAAUUCGAUUUUUUUUUAAUUCCGCGCAUAAUAGGCGCACCCCGAACUUGGCCGUGAUCAGAAACGAUUCUACCCCCCAGCGGUACAGUUGGAACGCGGUCCCCGUACCCUGAAGAAAAAAAGAAGGCAAAUAAAAAAAAAUUCGAAGUGCAACGACCUAACCAACGUGUUUGUCGAAAUAAAACUUGAAAAAAAAAAAAGCGUCCAUGAGCGAAAAAAAAAAAAAAAACGGCUGUUACAUCAAUUACUGAUACCCCCCAAAUCGCCGCGCUUUUUGGAGGUCACGUGUACAACGCCGGGGGCUCGAUCGCCAUCACCACCAUCAGAGAAAAAGAAAGAAACGCCAUUUUGCAAGCGGUGUGCGUAUGUUGUGGUCAGGUUGUGCUUCAAGAAGACGGGUAUCUCGAACGCACUGGAUGCGAGUGAGGAUGACAUGUUGUGGGGUGUGGAUGAUUCGGACACCGAAAACGAAUCCCUGCUCUGUGAGAAUGAAUGUGUGAUCUCCGACUCGGACUCCGAAUAGGGAAAAGGAGGAACACCUACGACUUUUGUGUAAAUAAAUUUUACGUGUGUGUGUGUGCAGUUGACGGCUCUCGCUUGUUCAUUAAAAGGUACGUAGGUAUGUUUGUUUUAUGCUGAAUUAAUUGGUAAACGAUAAAGUCGCCUUUUACUUGACAAAUGUGCAGAUUUAAAGCGCGAGAACAGAG